CUGUGAUCAAUAGCUGAUUUGAGAGGAUGAUCAGCCACAUUGGGACUGAGACACGGCCCAAACUCCUACGGGAGGCAGCAGUGGGGAAUCUUGCACAAUGGAGGAAACUCUGAUGCAGCGAUGCCGCGUGAGUGAAGAAGGCCCUUGGGUUGUAAAGCUCUUUCGUCGGGGAAGAAAAUGACUGUACCCGAAUAAGAAGGUCCGGCUAACUUCGUGCCAGCAGCCGCGGUAAUACGAAGGGACCUAGCGUAGUUCGGAAUUACUGGGCUUAAAGAGUUCGUAGGUGGUUGAAAAAGUUGGUGGUGAAAUCCCAGAGCUUAACUCUGGAACUGCCAUCAAAACUUUUCAGCUAGAGUUUGAUAGAGGAAAGCAGAAUUUCUAGUGUAGAGGUGAAAUUCGUAGAUAUUAGAAAGAAUACCAAUUGCGAAGGCAGCUUUCUGGAUCAUUACUGACACUGAGGAACGAAAGCAUGGGUAGCGAAGAGGAUUAGAUACCCUCGUAGUCCAUGCCGUAAACGAUGUGUGUUAGACGUUGGAAAUUUAUUUUCAGUGUCGCAGCGAAAGCGAUAAACACACCGCCUGGGGAGUACGACCGCAAGGUUAAAACUCAAAUGAAUUGACGGGGACCCGCACAAGUAGUGGAGCAUGUGGUUUAAUUCGAAGAUACGCGCAGAACCUUACCAACACUUGACAUGUUCGUCGCGACUCUAAGAGAUUAGAGUUUUCGGUUCGGCCGGACGAAACACAGGUGCUGCAUGGCUGUCGUCAGCUCGUGUCGUGAGAUGUUGGGUUAAGUCCCGCAACGAGCGCAACCCUCACUUUUAGUUGCCAUCAUUAAGUUGGGCACUCUGAAAGAACUGCCAGUGAUAAGCUGGAGGAAGGUGGGGAUGACGUCAAGUCCUCAUGGCCCUUACGUGUUGGGCUACACACGUGCUACAAUGGUAUCUACAACAGGAAGCAAAACUGCGAAGUUAAGCAAAUCCUUAAAAGAUACCUCAGUUCGGAUUGCACUCUGCAACUCGAGUGCAUGAAGCUGGAAUUACUAGUAAUCGUGGAUCAGCGUGCCACGGUGAAUGCGUUCCCGGGUCUUGUACACACCG
rnacentral:rRNA from 1 species